rnacentral:rRNA from 1 species
CGCCGAAGCGAAACGCGAGCACGUGCAGAGCACAACUCCACCGAAGCGGCCCACCAGCCUCCAGCUCCCUCCACUUCGCCUCUCCUCCUGAUUCGCACCGCUUCCCUUUUCGCCGUAAAACACCCCGACGUCACCCUCCAAACCCUAACCCUAGAAGAAGACAUCCAUCUCUCCACCCCCGGCGCGCGCCCGGCUGCUCGGGGCAGCGGCGAUGGGGAGGCGGAAGGAGCGCCGCCUGGCGGCCAAGGCGGCCUCGGGCCGCAGGGUCAAGCUCGACCUCUUCCUCGAUCCUCCCCCCGGGGAGGCAUCUAUGAAAGAGGGAGUAGGAGAGGAAAACCGUGGGCAGCAAACUGGUGUUCCCACUUCACCAUCUUCGUCAGGUGGGUUCAAUCAAUUUCCUUCCAAGGGAUAUGUAAAGACGGCACAUGCCUAUGGAACGUAAAUUUGGUGGAAAUUUGGAAUUUUCUUCAAGCAUGUGUAUGCUCCAAAUUUCUGGUUUGAGGCACAUGUAGGGUUCCCGGCCUGCAAGGAACAUUAAGUAAAUUCUUCAGAUCAGGCUGCCACUGUCAAAACUGGGUGUGUUCCUUCCGGUAAUUUCUCUUUUGGCAGCAUCUGAGCGUGGGGAUUUCAGGAUGAUUGUUGCCUCCUCGGUUCGUAUGUCUCUUUCUUUAUACUGUAGCUCCUAACCUGGUUUUUUAAUUAUUGCUGGGCCGCCAUGGUGCAUUUUAAAGUAAUUUUAACGAACUUGUUCUACUUUUAUACCUGAGUCGAUCCUCACAUAUACUUCAGAAAAUAGUGCAAUAUAGAUUGUGUCACAUGAAAGCUUUUGCGUUUUUAAUGAUGAAUUUAUCUUUUCAGAUAAGAAGGAAAAUCCUCUAGCUUUGCUUGGGCAAUAUAGUGAUGAUGAAGAAGAGGAUGAAGUAGCAACAGAUCAACCCAUUGGUGAAACUAAGGGGAGUCCAACAGAUGCAAGUGCUGAGGUUAUUCAUGAUCAGGCUGAUGUAACUGGGGAUAAUGGCGAUGCAGAUAGUGAACUGCCUGCUUCUGUUAGUGUUCAGCAGGAGGUAUCUCAAGCUGAUGAUGUAAAAAAUGUCACAGAAAAUGUUGCUGAGGAAUUUACUGUUGCCCCUGAGCCAACUCUGGAAAAUGAGGGUGUGACAGCAACGGAAGCUGUCCCAGAUUCAUCUGGCAUGCAAAUUGUUGGUGACAUUGGUGGGAAUUGGAAGGCUAUAAUGCAUGAACAGAGUAAUCAGUGCUACUACUGGAACACAGUUACUGGAGAAACUUCUUGGGAGAUUCCUAAUGGAUUAGCUUCAGUAGUUGCUGCUGAUGGGGUCACUUCUGCAUCUGUGCCUACUCAUAUGGGGUACUCUGUCGAAGCUCAAGCACAUGUCCUUCCCCACAGUAAUGUCGAAGCAUAUCCUAGUGACGUGUCUGUUGGAAAUGGCACAGCAACCUAUACUGCUAUGGGAACUUAUACUCAUGAUCCUUAUGCUUACACUGGAGCCAUUGCUAGUCAUGAGACAGUGGACAUUGACCCCUUGCAGCUUGCAAAAUAUGGUGAGGAUUUACUGCAAAGACUGAAGCUGCUGGAAAGGCCACAUGUUGCCAUUGACAGUCUUGAGUUGAUAAAAAGAGAAAUUGAGAUACGAAUAGCAGACUGUAGUGCCCUCUCCUCGUAUGGAUCUUCUUUACUUCCGUUGUGGUUGCAUGCUGAGGUGCACCUUAAGCAACUAGAACUUUCAGUUUCCAAGUUUGAAGCUAGCUACACUACCAAACAUGGAUAUCUGGAGACAGUGGAUGCAGGACACAAAGCACCUAAUCAAGCUGAAGUUAUGGCACCCUCUGAGGGUGAGCAUUUGAAGGUUGAUGUUAGCACUCUGGGAAUAGGUACUGGCGAUGAAAAUAUUAAGGUUGAGGAACCAUGUACAACAUCAUCUGUUCAGAACUCACAAGGUGUGGCAGCAGCUAUUUUAAGAGUUGAAUCAGACAGUGAUGAAGAUAUGGACGUGGAAAUGGAGGUCGAUGAAGAAGGUGUUGAAGAGCAGGGCGGUUCCACUUCUAUGCCAAAUAAGGAGCAUCCUUCAUCAGAGCAAGUACGAUCACCAGCUUUGUCAUCAUUGGAGGAUUCUGCUCCUCCCCCACAGGAUAAUGACAUUCCUCCACCACCACCACCACCAGAAGAGGAAUGGAUUCCACCUCCACCACCUGAGAAUGAACCAGCUCCUCCACCUCCUCCUGAGCCUGAAGAGCCCGCUGUGUCAUUUGUUCAUGCUGAUACACUUCCUCAGCCAUACGGAGAUCAAGCAAACUUGGGUUACAUGCUUCCAGUAAUGGAGUACUAUCCUGCUGCUGGUACAGAUAGCACAAAUGCCAACUACUAUAUGCAAGCAAGCGAUUCUCAAAUUCUUCAAUCACAGCAGCAUUCUUACUAUGCACCAUUGUCUGCAAGUGGUGUAUCUAUUCCUGUUGAGACCACAUCCAUCCCCACAGUACCAGGUUCUUAUUAUAGCUAUCCUUCUGUCACCAUGUCUGCAACUGAAGUAGCAGCUGAAUCUUCUGGAUACUAUGCUUCAUCAACCUGUGCCAUUUCUAGUGGUGAAUUAGAUAACAAAACAAGCUCGGCCUCCCUUGUUGCAAAUAGUAAUGUGAAUUCUGUGGAGUCUGAUAAAGUGAUAUCCAAGGAGCCCACAGUUGCGUCUUUGAGCCAAUCAGUAGGAGCAGUCUCAGCUUCAGGACCAACAGUACAUGGAAGUUCUACUCAAGCUUCUACUAGCACCACUAAUCAGACUAAAGUUCCUCGUACUAAGAAGCGACCUGUUGCUGUUGCAUCGUCACUGAGAUCUAAUAAGAAGGUCUCAAGUCUGGUGGAUAAGGUAUCUCUCCGACCUCCAAAUGCUGCUGUUAAAAUAGUGACCAUUUAUGCUCUCUCUCCUACCCUACCACCCACUGCCCCCAAGUGUGGUGUCCUGACAUUAAUGAAGAAAUUUAACACUCUGCAUGAUUUGCAUUACUGCUAAUUGUGUGUACUUACUCGUUGAGACAUACUCUUGGUUAUCUCAUUAACAAGCGAGCACACUGUUCUUGGCCAGUUAUUUCGUUGUGCACAAUAUAGGUCGCCCAGAAAAAAACAACUCAUGCAAGUGGGAGUGUGACAGUGUUUCCUGACUAUUUUGUCUCAUGUUUAUCAUUUCUUAUUUUAAAGGCAGAGCAAUCUGUUUACAUGGUAAUUGGUAAGGCUUAAGACAAGGUGAGUGUUGAUGUAUAAUGAUUGUUUCCUUAUUAAUCUACCUUUGCUAAAACCAUUUUUUAUUUCACUAUUACAGUGGAAAGCUGCAAAAGAGGAGCUUCGUGAUGAAGAGGAAGAGGAGCCUGAAGAUGCUUUGGAGUACCUAGAAAGGAAACGCCGGAAGGAAAUAGAUGGGUGGCGUAAACAACAAAUAGCUAGUGGAGAAGCCAAGGAAAAUGCUAAUUUUGUUCCCCUUGGUGGUGAUUGGCGUGACCGUGUAAAACGCAAAAGAGCUGAAGCAAAGAAGGAAGCAAAGACUGAAUCUAUUCGUGCAGCUGCCGAACAACACAAAGGGGAGCCUGAUCUCUCAGAGCUCUCCAAGGGUCUUCCUUCUGGGUGGCAGGCAUACAUAGACGAGUCUACGAAGCAAGUGUACUAUGGGAACAACCUCACUUCCGAGACGACUUGGGAUCGGCCUAGCAAAUAAAGAUUGGAUUAGUUGAAGAUGGUCUAGUUUUGCUCUGUAGAUAUCCCCGUACCUCCGAUCGAUACGUUGCCUGUCACGUCCUGAGAAGCAACCGGUUUCUGAUGUUACCUUGGUUUUGAGGCUGUAUUGUUUCUUUUAUUUUCCACUGGGAGAUCAUAGUGGGGAGGAGAGUUCAUUUUGGUAUAGAGGCACCCUUGUAAGAGUGGCAACUUGAGAUCGAAUUACUGAAGCAAAAUCUACUAGUUAGUUGCUGACCAAGGAAAAAUGUACCUUGUUAAGUGGUGCUAGUCUUUACCUGGAUCUGAUAUCGUUUGCUUUCAAAACAACGUCAAUUAUAUUCAAUUUUAGGUUGUGCUAAAUACUAAAGAGACUUCUCCAAUUAUUUACUCCCUCCGUUCCUAAAUAUAAGUCUUUAUAGAGAUUCCACUAGGUGGACUAUAUAGGGAGCAAAAUGAAUGAAUCUACACUUAAAAUGCA